UAGGGAAUCUUCGGCAAUGGACGAAAGUCUGACCGAGAACCGCCGCGGGGGUGAAAAAGGUUUUCGGAUCGUAAAACUCUGUUGUUAGAGAAGAACAAGGACGUAAGUAACGGAACGUCCCCUGACGGAAUCUAACAAGAAAGCCACGCCUAACUCCGUGCCAGCAGCCGCGGUAAUACGUAGGUGGCAAGCGUUGUCCGGAUUUAUUGGGCGUAAAGCGAGCGCAGGCGGUUUCUUAAGUCUGAUGUGAAAGCCCCCGGCUCAACCGGGGAGGGUCAUUGGAAACUGGGAGACUUGAGUGCAGAAGAGGAGAGUGGAAUUCCAUGUGUAGCGGUGAAAUGCGUAGAUAUAUGGAGGAACACCAGUGGCGAAGGCGGCUCUCUGGUCUGUAACUGACGCUGAGGCUCGAAAGCGUGGGGAGCAAACAGG
rnacentral:rRNA from 1 species